rnacentral:rRNA from 1 species
AUUGAACGCUGGCGGCAGGCCUAACACAUGCAAGUCGAGCGGGAACUUCGGUUCUAGCGGCGGACGGGUGAGUAAUGCGUAGGAAGCUACCCGAUAGAGGGGGAUACCAGUUGGAAACGACUGUUAAUACCGCAUAAUGUCUACGGACCAAAGUGUGGGACCUUCGGGCCACAUGCUAUCGGAUGCGCCUACGUGGGAUUAGCUAGUUGGUGAGGUAAUGGCUCACCAAGGCGACGAUCCCUAGCUGGUUUGAGAGGAUGAUCAGCCACACUGGAACUGAGACACGGUCCAGACUCCUACGGGAGGCAGCAGUGGGGAAUAUUGGACAAUGGGCGAAAGCCUGAUCCAGCCAUGCCGCGUGUGUGAAGAAGGCCUUCGGGUUGUAAAGCACUUUCAGCGAGGAGGAAGGGGUUGUAGUUAAUAGCUGCAACCUUUGACGUUACUCGCAGAAGAAGCACCGGCUAACUCUGUGCCAGCAGCCGCCGUAACAC